AGCAGUCGCCGCGGGAAUACGGAGGGAGCUUGCGUUGUUCGGAAUUACUGGGCGUAAAGCGCGCGUAGGCGGUUACUCAAGUCAGAGGUGAAAGCCCGGGGCUCAACCCCGGAACUGCCUUUGAAACUAGGUGACUAGAAUCUUGGAGAGGUCAGUGGAAUUCCGAGUGUAGAGGUGAAAUUCGUAGAUAUUCGGAAGAACACCAGUGGCGAAGGCGACUGACUGGACAAGUAUUGACGCUGAGGUGCGAAAGCGUGGGGAGCAAACAGGAUUAGAUACCCGCGUAGUCCCUGUCUCUUAUAC
rnacentral:rRNA from 1 species